rnacentral:rRNA from 1 species
GAUGAACGCUGGCUACAGGCUUAACACAUGCAAGUCGAGGGGAAACGCCGGGGAAGCUUGCUUCCCCGGGCGUCGACCGGCGCACGGGUGAGUAACGCGUAUCCAACCUGCCUCUGACUGAGGGAUAACCCGUCGAAAGUCGGCCUAAUACCUCAUGGCAUCGUCUGCGGGCAUCCAACGACGAUUAAAGAUUUCAUCGGUCAGAGAUGGGGAUGCGUCUGAUUAGCUUGUUGGCGGGGUAACGGCCCACCAAGGCGACGAUCAGUAGGGGUUCUGAGAGGAAGGUCCCCCACAUUGGAACUGAGACACGGUCCAAACUCCUACGGGAGGCAGCAGUGAGGAAUAUUGGUCAAUGGGCGAGAGCCUGAACCAGCCAAGUAGCGUGCAGGAUGACGGCCCUAUGGGUUGUAAACUGCUUUUAGGCGGGGAUAAAGUGAGGGACGUGUCCUUCAUUGCAGGUACCGCAUGAAUAAGGACCGGCUAAUUCCGUG